UGGGGAAUUUUGGACAAUGGGGGAAACCCUGAUCCAGCCAUCCCGCGUGUUCGAUGAAGGCCUUAGGGUUGUAAAGCACUUUUGGCAGGAAAGAAACGUCAUGGGUUAAUACCCCGUGACACUGACGGUACCUGCAGAAUAAGCACCGGCUAACUACGUGCCAGCAGCCGCGGUAAUACGUAGAGUGCAAGCGUUAAUCGGAAUUACUGGGCGUAAAGCGUGCGCAGGCGGUUCGGAAAGAAAGAUGUGAAAUCCCAGAGCUCAACUUUGGAACUGCAUUUUUAACUACCGGGCUAGAGUGUGUCAGAGGGAGGUGGAAUUCCGCGUGUAGCAGUGAAAUGCGUAGAUAUGCGGAGGAACACCGAUGGCGAAGGCAGCCUCCUGGGAUAACACUGACGCUCAUGCACGAAAGCGUGGGGAGCAAACAGG
rnacentral:rRNA from 1 species